AGCGCUCAUAGCAAUAUGGGAGCGGGAACGGGUAGUAUACGUAGGAACGUCCCUCGGGUCGAGGAUAGCUACGGGAAACUGUAGGUAAUACUCGAUGAUCUCUGCGGAGCAAAGGUGUGAUUCCGCCCGAGGAGCGGCUUACGCGAUAUUAGCUAGUUGGUAGGGUAAUGGCCUACCAAGGCGAAGAUGUCUAGGGGGUGUGAGAGCAUGGGCCCCCACGACCGGAACUGAGAUACUGUCCGGACACCUACGGGUGGCUGCAGUCGAGAAUCUUCCGCAAUGGACGAAAGUCUGACGGAGCGACGCCGCGUGCGGGAUGAAGGCCCUUGGGUUGUAAACCGCUGUCAGAGGGGAUGAAAUCUUCGGAGGUACUCCUCCGAAGUUGACAGAGCCUCAAAGGAAGCACGGGCUAAGUACGUGCCAGCAGCCGCGGUAACACGUACUGUGCGAACGUUAUUCGGAAUCACUGGGCUUAAAGGGUGCGUAGGCGGCGAUUCAAGUCAGAUGUGAAAUGCCUGAGCUCAACUGAGGCAUUGCGUUUGAAACUGA
rnacentral:rRNA from 1 species